rnacentral:lncRNA from 1 species
GAAAGAGAUGGGUUGCUUCUUUGUAAGAACCCACCCUCUUAAUUAUUUGGAGGAUUUCCAAAAGUAUAACUUCUGGAUUUUCAGAUACCCCCUUUAUAAAAACCAAAACUUGCACCCCUAUAGGCACGUAAAAUGAUAGAUUGUCGUAGGCUGUGUGCUAAAGGUGGAGACGAUUGGUAAUGGUUGCUUUAGCUUUAACAGUAGUUGACACAUGCGUCAUGGGAAAGCUCAUGGCCGCCAUGGAGGAAGAGGGGGUGAUGUGAUCCUAGAAUGUUCGCCAGCAAUUUGGGAUUUGAGCAACUUGCAACAUCACAUUGUCUAUUAUAUUUUCCUUCCCUUUUGUAUUUUCUACCGUUAAAACAUGAUCUCACAUAUUAUCUGUAGUUAGCAGUAAUGUAUUUGGUAUUUUACGGAAUGCAAAGAGAGGGGGGCAUAGUGCUUCAAAAAAAGAAUAAGACAGGAAGCCAAGGAGAUUACAUGGUAUUUUCAAUUACCUAUGUUAUAUCAAAGAAGGUUACUCUUGGUGACAUGCAUCAACCAUAUAUUUGUCCCACCACAAGACGGCCAAAGAAGAAGGAAGCUCAUAGGUUGGUGUGUCAUCCACUUCAUAUGGUUGGAGGGAUAAAUAACGGAUUUGGAACAAGAUAAGAGAAAUAUGCUAUGAUGGAGAAAAUUGAAGGAAAUGUGGGGUUACACAUUGUGUUGAAUGAGUGAAGAUACAAGUUUAUGUUUCUAUAGUUCAAAUAUUUAU